rnacentral:rRNA from 1 species
AAUGAACGCUGGCGGCGUGCUUAACACAUGCAAGUCGUGCGCGAAGGUGGCUUCGGCCACCGGAGAGCGGCGGACGGGUGAGUAACACGUGGGUAAUCUGCCGUGGGAGCGGGGGAUAACCGUGGGGAAACUCGGGCUAAUACCGCAUACGUUUGCGAGAUCAUGGUCUCGUCAAGAAAGCUGGCCUCUGCUUGCAAGCUAGCACUCCCAGAGGAGCCCGCGGCUGAUUAGCUAGUUGGUGAGGUAAUGGCUCACCAAGGCGACGAUCAGUAGCCGGCCUGAGAGGGUGAUCGGCCACACUGGGACUGAGACACGGCCCAGACUCC